rnacentral:rRNA from 1 species
GAUGAACGCUGGCGGCGUGCCUAAUACAUGCAAGUCGAGCGAACGGACGAGAAGCUUGCUCCUCUGAUGUUAGCGGCGGACGGGUGAGUAACACGUGGAUAACCUACCUAUAAGACUGGGAUAACUUCGGGAAACCGGAGCUAAUACCGGAUAAUAUAUUGAACCGCAUGGUUCAAUAGUGAAAGACGGUCUUGCUGUCACUUAUAGAUGGAUCCGCGCUGCAUUAGCUAGUUGGUAAGGUAACGGCUUACCAAGGCAACGAUGCAUAGCCGACCUGAGAGGGGGAUCCGGCACACUGGAACUGAGGCAAGGUCCCGGCCUCCAACGGAAGGAAGCAGAGGGAAUCUUUCGGAAUGGGGCGAAAGCCUGCCGAGGAAACGCGGCUGGAGUAAGGAGGGUUUUCGAUUCUAAAACCCCUGUUAUAAGGAAAGAAAAAAGGGGUAAGUAACUAUGCAAGUCUGAACGUAACCAAUCAAGAAGGCACCGCCUACUUCGUG